AGUAUUAUAUGCUGAUGUUAAAGAUUAAGCCAUGCAUGUGUAAGUUUAAAGACCAAGUAGGAUGAAACUGCGGACGGCUCAUUAUAACAGUAAUAGUUUCUUUGGUUAGUAUGUACAAGGAUAACUUUGUGAAUGAUAAAGCUAAUACUUGAGACGAUCCGGGGAGUAUUUAUACUUUUCGGCCGCUGGUCGCAAGGUUGGCGAGAAACGACAUUCUCUUGUGAAAAAGGAUGCCACGACAAUUGAGGAAAGCGACGCUUUUUACAAGUAACCAAUGGGAAUUUCUGAUCUAUCAAUUUGUUGGUAGUAUCGAGGACUACCAAGAUUAUAACGGAUAACGAGGAAUUGGGGUUCGACAUCGGAGAGGGAGCUUUACAGAUGGCUACCACUUCUAAGGAAGGCAGCAGGCGCGUAAAUUACCCACUUUCGACUCGAAGAGGUAGUGACGACAAAUAACUCU
rnacentral:rRNA from 1 species